UCUUUGGCGAUUGAAUUCUGAUUUGGGGAUUCCGCAAUAUUUGGUGGACGGAAUUUCGCCCUUAACUCCGAUAUAGGAGGAUAUUACAAUUACGUUUCUUUCUGGGUAAUCGUUGGCUGAUAUUUCAUAUACAAUUUUCAAUCAACGAUUGUUGCACGUUCAUCUAUAAUUAGCCCUCUUAUGUAAAGGGGGUUUUUAAUUUUAGUUGGAGUUUCAAUACCAUUUCAAGUAUAAUUCCGGAUACGUUUUACAUACGCAUGGGGGUAACCUUAAAUUCACCAUCGGUGCAGGAGUCCCAAUACGUUUUGACAGCCUAAGGAGAGGCCCUUCAGGUAUUGAUCAGUUCAUUGCACUCCGAGCUCUGCAUUUUGGGAGUUUUCUUUUGGUC